AUGAUCCAAGAACUCCUCGGAGGCACGGCCAUGGAGCAGCAGCAGCUCAAGUGCGCCGGGAACGCUGCGAACCACCACGGCUCGCUCCCCAUGGCGCUGCAGCCCAUCUCCUCCAACCCGUCCCCCACGUCCUCCUCCACCUCGUCGCGCUCCUCCACGCAGCGGUCGCCCUCGGCCGCGUCGUCGCCGCAGGGGCAGGGGCAGCAAGGGCAGCAGGGCCCGCCGGGGCCGGAGCAGGCGCCGCUGCGCUGCCCCCGGUGCAACUCCUCCAACACCAAGUUCUGCUACUACAACAACUACAACCUCACCCAGCCGCGCCACUUCUGCAAGACGUGCCGCCGCUACUGGACCAAGGGCGGCGCGCUCCGCAACGUCCCCAUCGGCGGCGGCUGCCGCAAGCCGCGCCCCAUGCCGGCGCCCGUCGCCAAGGCGCAGCCCUCCUCCUGCAAGUCCGUGCUCGGCAUGGGCGUCGGCACCGCGCCGUCCCUCGGCCUCGGCAUGGGCGUGGGCGGCGGCAUGUCCUGGGCCUCCUCGCCGCAGACCGCCACCGCGCAGCUCAUGGCGCUGCUCAACAGCGCCAGGGCCGGCUACGCCGGCAGCAACAUGCACCGGCUUCUCGGGCUGGACACCAUGGGGCAGCUCCAGGUCCUGCCGGGGUCGGCGAACGGCGGGCCGGGCAUGUCGCCGUCGCUGUGGCCGCAGGCCACGCACCGGCCGACCAUGCCUCCGCCACCAAUGCACCUCGACUCGCACCUCGGCAUGGGCUCGCUGGGGCUGGGCCAGGGCCAGGGCCACCACAACCUGCUGUCAGCGCUGGAGCUCAAGCCGCCCUCGUCUUCGCCGUCGCCGUCUUCACUCGCGGCGAGCUACUACAGCGACCAGCUGAACGCGGUGGUGAGCAACGGCGGCGCCGGGCGCCCCCACCCGUACGACACCCCGGCGUCGUCCUACCCUUGCAGCACGGCGAUGUGCUCCCUCCCGCCGUCCGCGUCGACCGUCUCGGCGGCGCAGAGCAGCCGCACCGUGGGGAUGGACCAGCAGCCACCCACCAUGUCGCUCGGCACGCAGGAGAUGCAGUACUGGAGCGGCGGCCCGGCGUCGAUGAUGGCAUGGCCGGACUUGCCCACCCUCAACGGCGCCUUCCCAUGA
rnacentral:rRNA from 1 species